GUCUUGGGAGGACUCCGUAUUUGGCCCAUCGUGGCCAUCGCGGCGGAUCGGCAGCUGUGAAUGUUUCCCUAUUUGCAGUGUGGCGAGUUGAGUUUUGGAUUGGACCCUAACCUGUCAGUUGCAGCAACCUGUGGGGUUUUUUGGUGAAGAGAGAAGGAUGGUUGAUUUUGUACCCCUUUUGUGUAUUAUACUUUUGAAAAGCAAAUAGGAAGAGUUAUAUCUUUUUCUCUCUUUUCUUUGGAUAAAUAGAAUUGCAUGUUUUCUUGUAUUCUUUUGGCAUGUUUUAUUUGUUGAUCUGAUUGUCAUGGUAAUUGAUACAAAAAAGUGCUUCGAGGCAUUAUUGCUGUUCCUGAAA